rnacentral:misc_RNA from 1 species
GUAUUCCGACACCUUGUAGAGACGGUGAACUGCCGCUUACUGUUUGCCACACAUUAUCAUCCACUCACUAAAGAGUUUGCUUCUCAUCCACAUGUGGCAUUACAACACAUGGCCUGCUCUUUCAAGUUGAAAUCUCAAAGUUCAUCUCCAACAGAGCAAGAACUGGUGUUCCUCUACCGCCUAACCUCUGGAGCAUGCCCGGAGAGCUAUGGGAUGCAAGUAGCCCUUAUGGCUGGAAUACCGAAAACUGUGGUUGAAUCUGCAUUGAGUGCGGCGCAAGUAAUGAAGAAAAUGAACAGAGAAAGUUUUAAGUCUUCUGAACAAAGAGCUAACUUUUCAACACUGCAUGAGCAAUGGUUCACGACUCUUCUGGAUAUCUCGAAGACGGAUGGUGGACUAAAUAGUGACAAUGAUGACGACAAUGACCUAUUUGAUACAUUGUUUUGUUUGUGGCAUGAACUUAAGGCUGAUAGAUCCACUUGCUGAAAAUGUUGGUCUUUUGAAUAGACCAUUAUGCUGUAAACUGAUGAUGUUUUUAUUUUGGAAGAAAGGGUGUACAUGUUUUAUGUGGGAAAAAGGGUCGAAAUGAUUUAUUGGUUGGCCUUAUCCUCCG